UGUCCUGAUUUGAUCGCAACUAACUGUA
rnacentral:sRNA from 1 species